rnacentral:rRNA from 1 species
CAGCCGCCACGGGAAUACGGAGGGAGCUAGCGUUGUUCGGGAUUACUGGGCGUAAAGCGCGCGUAGGCGGUUACUCAAGUCAGAGGUGAAAGCCCGGGGCUCAACCCCGGAACUGCCUUUGAAACUAGGUGACUAGAAUCUUGGAGAGGUCAGUGGAAUUCCGAGUGUAGAGGUGAAAUUCGUAGAUAUUCGGAAGAACACCAGUGGCGAAGGCGACUGACUGGACAAGUAUUGACGCUGAGGUGCGAAAGCGUGGGGAGCAAACAGGAUUAGAUACCCGAGUAGUCCCUGUCUCUUAUAC